rnacentral:rRNA from 1 species
AGUCGAGCGGUAACAGGAAUUAGCUUGCUAAUUUGCUGACGAGCGGCGGACGGGUGAGUAACGCGUAGGAAUCUGCCUGGUAGUGGGGGACAACAUGUGGAAACGCAUGCUAAUACCGCAUACGCCCUACGGGGGAAAGGAGGGGAUCUUCGGACCUUUCGCUAUCAGAUGAGCCUGCGUGAGAUUAGCUAGUUGGUGGGGUAAAGGCUCACCAAGGCGACGAUCUCUAGCUGGUCUGAGAGGACGAUCAGCCACACUGGGACUGAGACACGGCCCAGACUCCUACGGGAGGCAGCAGUGGGGAAUAUUGGACAAUGGGCGCAAGCCUGAUCCAGCCAUGCCGCGUGUGUGAAGAAGGCCUUCGGGUUGUAAAGCACUUUCAGAGGUGAGGAAGGGUGUGCCGUUAAUACCGGUAUGCUUUGACGUUAGCCUCAGAAGAAGCACCGGCUAACUCUGUGCCAGCAGCCGCGGUAAUACAGAGGGUGCGAGCGUUAAUCGGAAUUACUGGGCGUAAAGCGCGCGUAGGUGGUUUGUUAAGUCGGAUGUGAAAGCCCAGGGCUCAACCUUGGAAUUGCACCCGAUACUGGCAGGCUAGAGUACGGUAGAGGGGUGUGGAAUUUCCUGUGUAGCGGUGAAAUUGCGUAAAUAUAGGAAGGAACA